GGAGGGAUGGCCGAGUGGCUGAAGGCGACGGUUUGCUAAACCGUUAUACGGGCUUCAACCUGUAUCGGGGGUUCGAAUCCCCCUCCCUCCG
rnacentral:tRNA from 1 species